AGAGUUUGAUCCUGGCUCAGGACGAACGCUGGCGGCGUGCUUAACACAUGCAAGUCGAACGGAAAGGCCCUUCGGGGUACUCGAGUGGCGAACGGGUGAGUAACACGUGGGUGAUCUGCCCUGCACUUUGGGAUAAGCCUGGGAAACUGGGUCUAAUACCGAAUAUGACCAUGCACUUCCUGGUGUGUGGUGGAAAGCUUUUGCGGUGUGGGAUGGGCCCGCGGCCUAUCAGCUUGUUGGUGGGGUAAUGGCCUACCAAGGCGACGACGGGUAGCCGGCCUGAGAGGGUGACCGGCCACACUGGGACUGAGAUACGGCCCAGACUCCUACGGGAGGCAGCAGUGGGGAAUAUUGCACAAUGGGCGCAAGCCUGAUGCAGCGACGCCGCGUGAGGGAUGACGGCCUUCGGGUUGUAAACCUCUUUCAGCACAGACGAAGCGCUAGUGACGGUAUGUGCAGAAGAAGGACCGGCCAACUACGUGCCAGCAGCCGCGGUAAUACGUAGGGUCCGAGCGUUGUCCGGAAUUACUGGGCGUAAAGAGCUCGUAGGUGGUUUGUCGCGUUGUUCGUGAAAACUCACAGCUUAACUGUGGGCGUGCGGGCGAUACGGGCAGACUUGAGUACUGCAGGGGAGACUGGAAUUCCUGGUGUAGCGGUGAAAUGCGCAGAUAUCAGGAGGAACACCGGUGGCGAAGGCGGGUCUCUGGGCAGUAACUGACGCUGAGGAGCGAAAGCGUGGGGAGCGAACAGGAUUAGAUACCCUGGUAGUCC
rnacentral:rRNA from 1 species